rnacentral:lncRNA from 1 species
AGCAGAGGACGGAGGUAAGAUCGUCCAAGUACUACGAGAGUAAGCUAAGUUUGUCAGGUGGGCAUUAUUUUGAUAUACCUAUUAUACGAGCUUUCUUAAAUGAUAUGAUAUUUAUGAUUAUGAAUUGAGUUAAUGUUAUGCUUGAAACUAAUUGACUUGCCGAGUUUUGUUAAUAAUAACUUGUGUCUUACCCUCUACUGUUGAGACGAAUUCGGUCCUGCCACAAGCGGGAUUUUGUGCACAGAGGUGACUGUGAGCCGUCUAUCGGGUCGGCCGGUCACGGUACUUGAGAGGGAGGCCUACUUCUCAGUACCUUUAAUGAUGAGUAGUGGAUGUGGUACAUACAUAAUGGAUGUUUAAACUGCGCAGUUACUUUAUUAUGAUGUUAUGAUUUGCGAAAUUGCAUGCACAUGUUCUUCUCUAACUAAAACCCUUGUGCGUUGCUUAAUGUGGCAAGUUCAAUUUAUAGCUCUAAGAGCAAGCUUUCUUUUGUUUUUCGGCAUAUGUACACUGAGUACUUUGUACUCAGCCCUGCAUGUAUUUCUAAAUGUGCAGGAUAAGCGAGAAGGAGGAAGAUCGGUCUGGUGCUGGCGGGGACUUAUUUUGGAUGACAUUGUUCCUUUUACCGUAUUUAUAUUACAUACGGUAGCUUUUUGAUGUCGAUGUUUAUAUUUUGGACUUAGUCAAGAAGUAUACUCUCGGCUAUAUGUCUUCAUACAUAUAGUCUGUUCACGUUUUGCUGCGAGACUCUGUAAAUUGUGAACCUUUGUGAAUUUUUAACUAUGUCCGCUUUGUAAACUUUGUCGAGAAUCCCUGUACUUUUGAACUUAUGAAGCCGAUAAUAUUUGUGUCUUU